rnacentral:rRNA from 1 species
GACGAACGCUGGCGGCAUGCCUAAUACAUGCAAGUCGAGCGAACGGACGAGAAGUUUGCUCCCCUGAUGUCAGCGCCCGACGGAUGAGUCACACGUGUAUAACCUACCUCUAAGACCGGGAUACCUACGGGAGACCGUAGCUAAUACCGGAUAAUAUUUUGAAUUGCAUGGUUCAAAAGUGAAAGACGUUCUUGCUUUCCAUUAUAGAUGUCUCCGCGCUGCAUUAGCUACUGGGUUAGGUAACGGCUUACCAAGGCAACGAUGCAUACCCGACCCGAGAGGGUGAUCGGCCACCCGGGAACGGAGAGACAGUGCAGACUCGUACGGGAGGCAGCGGUAGGGAAUCUUACGGGAAGGGCGAAAGCCUGAAGGAGGACAGCCGCGUGAGUGCUGAAGCUCUUCGGAUGGUGUAGCGCUGUUAGUAGUGAAGAAGUUAUGUGCAAGUAACUGUGCACAUCUUGACGGUACCUAAUCAGUAAGCCCCGGCUAACUACGUG